AAGCGUGGAAGCAUGNUGGUUUANUUCNGAAGGCAACCGCCGAAGGAACCNUAACCAGGUCUUUGANNAUCCCGGNGACCCACUUAUGGNAGAACAUAAGUUUUNCCCUUNNGGGGGGCAUCCGGUGACAGGUUGGUACAUGGNUUGUCCGUCCAAGCUNGGUGUCGUGAGAUGNUGGGUUAAGUCCCGCAACGAGCGCAACCCCUUAUUNUUAGUNGCCAUCAUUCAGUUUGGGCACCUCUAAGGAGACUGCCGGUGAUAAACCGGAGGAAGGUGGGGAUGACGUCAAAUCAUCAUGCCCCUUAUGACCUGGGCUACACACGUGCUACAAUGGACGGUACAAACGGUCGCCAACCCGCGAGGGGGAGCUAAUCCGAUAAAACCGUUCUCAGUUCGGAUUGUANAAAACAACUCGCNUACAUGAAGCCGGAAUCGCUAGUAAUCGCGGAUCAUGCAUGCCGCGGUGAAUACGUUCCCGGGUCUUGUACACACCNCCCGUCACACCAUGGGAGUAGAGGAUACCAGAAGUUGUUAGGCUAACCGUAAGGGGGCCGAUUACCACGGUAUGUUUUAUGACUGGGGUGAAGUCGUAACAAGGUAGUCAGUAGGGGAACNUGCGGGUGGAUCACCUCCUUU
rnacentral:rRNA from 1 species